AACGAACGCUGGCGGCGCGCCUAACACAUGCAAGUCGAACGAAGCAUAGGAGCUUGCUCCUAUGACUGAGUGGCGCACGGGUGAGUAACACGUGGGAAUCUGCCUAUUGGUGGGGAAUAACUUUUGGAAACGAAAGCUAAUACCGCAUAAGCCCUGAGGGGGAAAGAUUUAUCGCCAGUAGAUGAGCCCGCGCUAGAUUAGCUAGUUGGUGAGGUAAGAGCUCACCAAGGCUACGAUCUAUAGCUGGUCUGAGAGGAUGGUCAGCCACACUGGGACUGAGACACGGCCCAGACUCCUACGGGAGGCAGCAGUGGGGAAUAUUGGACAAUGGGGGAAACCCUGAUCCAGCGAUGCCGCGUGAGUGAAGAAGGCCUUCGGGUUGUAAAGCUCUUUCAGAGGGGAUGAUGAUGACGGUACCCUCAGAAGAAGCACCGGCUAGCUUCGUGCCAGCCGCCGCCGUAA
rnacentral:rRNA from 1 species